rnacentral:misc_RNA from 1 species
ACGAGUUUGAACAUGGGUUGAUGCUGGCCUUCCGAGGCAAUGUGCUCACCCUGCUCAUCCAUCAUACCCCUGUGCACCUUUUGUAGUUGGUAUAGAGAGGCCUAUUCAAAGGGUUUCUUGAGCCAACUACGAUUUUUUACACACGCAUAUAAGUUAAGAAUGUAUACUUUUGCUAUAAACGCAUUUAAAUA